rnacentral:piRNA from 1 species
UGGUAUCAUUGUAUCAGAGUUGGCCU